CCCAGACUCCUACGGGAGGCAGCAGUGGGGGAUAUUGCACAAUGGGGGGAACCCUGAUGCAGCGACGCCGCGUGGGUGAAGGAGCGUUUCGGCGCGUAAAGCCCUAUCGGCAGGGAAGAAGGAGGACGGUACCUGACUAAGAAGCCCCGGCUAACUACGUGCCAGCAGCCGCGGUAAUACGUAGGGGGCAAGCGUUAUCCGGAUUUACUGGGUGUAAAGGGGGCGCAGACGGCAGCGCAAGCCAGGAGUGAAAGCCCGGGGCCCAACCCCGGGACUGCUCUUGGAACUGCGCGGCUGGAGUGCAGGAGGGGCAGGCGGAAUUCCUGGUGUAGCGGUGAAAUGCGUAGAUAUCAGGAGGAACACCGGUGGCGAAGGCGGCCUGCUGGACUGCGACUGACGUUGAGGCCCGAAAGCGUGGGGAGCAAACAGGAUUAGAUACCCGAGUAUC
rnacentral:rRNA from 1 species